UCCCCGCGCUUGCUCCGCUUCCAAUCCUCCCCGCGUUGCUGCUCCAGAGCCCACACCCGCUCCAACCCUAGCCGCCACACCUCUCCUUCCUCCUCGCUUGACACCAUAGGCGCUGCACCCCCUCCCCUCCUUCCUGCUCGGGCGGAUAGCCGCCGGCCGCCGCAUUCCUUCUCCCCCUUCCUCCUCCUUCCUCCUUCCCGCUGGAGCCCCUCGCCCUCUUUCCUCGGACAAGGGGCCUUCCACAGGAAUGGCCACGUCUUCAAACAAGGGGUAGUGGAGCAGGGGAGGACCAAGAAGCCGGCACUAGGGGUGGAGCAGCCAGGCGAAGGAGGACCCAGGUGGUGGAUGUGUCAAGGGGACUUCUCAGAGCCGGCGGGGAGCACGUCACCGUAGGCGUCAAGGGAGCCAUGGAGAAGCCGUCAGGAGGAGAAAGCUCCCAGUUUGUGGAGGAGACUAUGAGGCAUUUUUCCAGGUGGUGUUUUGGAAUCUAGAUUGAUUUGGUAUUGUAUGUUGUGUGAUGUGCCCUUGCCAAGAAUAUUUGAUGUGUGUGAUGACUGAUGACACAAGCAAUUGUAGAGCUGUGAACACCAUGCUUGAUUAGUGGACUGCCGCUUGAGAAGAAGCUUGUCAUUUGUCUCUUCGAGCCGCGGUGGAUAGGGGCCUUCGAAGAACUUGGGGUUUGACAUAGCCAUCGAGGAAGUGCAGGAUACAAACCAAGUGUAAUCAAAGAGGAUAUGAAUUCAGUACGACCAUGAGUGAAGGAACGCUACUCCAAUUUGGCACUUUAGUUUAUUGUUUUCAUUUAGUCUGUAUUAGCUUAACAAAAUAACAUUUGUGGGACAACUAAUAUUUGAACAUGGAUUUUUUCAGGAUCUUGGAGAAUGUUUUCUCAGUGUGGUUCAGGUUAAAUUGUUGUCCUACUGUUCCUGCUCAGCCUCCUAAUGUUCUAUGUCUUCGCUGCGCCUUCUUCCAGCUUCUCUAUUGGUUUUCUCUUCACACCGAUGAAAGUGCAUGUUCCUCCCUUCCUCCAAAUCUUCUCCGGCCAUGGUUGUUUGCAUCUGGUCACAGUUGUUUCAUGUUUCACUUUUGUUGGUGGUUCACGCGUCGGCCUUAGUGCUCUAAGCAAACCAACAUUUCUCAUCUUGGCGAUUGUAUUAUUGGGGCUUUUCUAUAUCUAUAGGUUCGAAUCUCAUGUGGCUCCUGCGCCCAACCACCAUCUCCUCCCUAGCUAAGCAAGAGGUUCAAAGGACACCGCUACAUCUUCCUUGCCGCCCAGCAGGAGGGGCACUAGGUGUGCCUCAUGUUUAGUUAAUGCCCACUGAUUGUGAUGUUCAUUCUAUGGGGAAUUUUGUUUACUUUUUAUAUUUUGUGCAUUUUCUAUUUCAUGUAUUGGUCAGUGGUCCUAAAUCCCAUGUGAUUUCUUCAUUCUUCAGGAAAAGUACAUAUCAGGAGAGCCAUUUAUUAGAGGAUCUUCUUGAUGGUUUUUUACAUUUGGUUCCUGAUGUUCUGCUUCUUGGGGUUUGCUCAUUUCCUUUCUAGCUAGAAAUACCAUAUUUUCCUCUUUGCGUGUACUGACUUGGUGUUUGGUUCGCUGCUUGUCUUAAUAUUCUGGAUUUAGCUGGGCAUCAUGUUUUGUUCAGCCUCAUGCUCCUAAGUGUAUCUCACACUGUAUAGGAACCUGUCAUGCGGGGACCUUGCCUUUUAUGCUUCUUCUUGAUAAUAGAAGUAUUGAAUAUACCUGUUUCUUCUGCUCAAACAUUUUGGCUAAGUGGCGAUAUUCCAAAUAAAUGGAUGUAUCUUGAACAAAGGAGAUGUCUGAUGGUUUCUUAAUUUCGUUGACUAACUAGGGAGUUCAAGGAUGAUGACUGAAAGUUUUGUCAUUACUGGCUAAUACUUGGCGACGAUGUGUCCAUCAGAAAUGAUCCGAUUAUCCUCUGUUGUAUUAUAUUUUCUACUUUUUUUGUAAAUAUGUAUGGAUGUACAUGCACACUCUUUCGAUGUCUGAAAAUGACCGUCAUCCCUCAGUGGGCAAAGAUGAUUUUGUUGAACAGUUUCAGUAUCUGUUACAUAGCGUAUUCUUUCCAAUGUAGAAGGUAGCAGCCGACUCUGCAUUGCUGUGGUGCUUAUAUUAUGGAGUAGUUAAGUUAUUCUCCCUCUGUAAAGAAAUAUAAGAGCGAAACACUCUUAUAUUUCUUUACAGAGGGAGUAUUCCACAAUAUUUAGGAUGUCAACUUUCAGCCAAUUGGUUAGUGGAUGUAAGAGCAUCUCUAGCCGAUCCUUAAAAAUCUUUAGCGGAUAGUCUAGUCGUAUACAAGCUGACUGCUCCUCAGGAAGGCUUGCUAUAGGUUACCAAACACUAGCAGGCGAGGUAUGCACUUGAACUUAUUUGCUCUGAAUUAUGCUAUCUAUUUGAUCUGCUAGCUAUUUUAUUGCUUCAUUUCUCCCUGAUCGCAUUUUUGUAUACAUGCACGCACUCUCAUUUCAAAAAUCAGUGACGGUCUCAUUCCAGCUGCACUGCUACUGCAAUUGAACAGCGAUUUAUACUUAGACCGCUUGCUUGCGCUUGAUGUGUCUGUUUUCUAUUCUAGCAAAUCGUCAUGCCCUAGGCACAGUGCCAAACACGUCUUGUUUGUGGCUGACCCCAAAAGGACUUCUGCACUAGAAGAACAUGUCCUCAAGGCCGUGACAAAGCAGCAGAGGUUAUAUAAUUUACAUAUCUGGAACUGCUUUAGACCAUUGGUGUUAUCAGUACGACGAAUUUCGGUCCUAUAACUGAACUAUUCCUUUUCCCGUUGUAUUUAUAAGUGACAUGUGUGUGGUUUUUUGCAGUACAUAGUAUAUGUAUGCAUUUCUUCAGUGGGGAGAUUAGUGCAUGAUGUCAUAUACACAAUUCAGAAAAUUUGUUUGAUAAUACUUAAGUGUAGGUUAGUCUAUUCUUUCAAGGAGAAAAGAGUAGGUCAAAUUAAUGAAAGACUGAGGUUGUUUGACGGCCGGACCAAGAAGAGCAAGGAGCCAACAAUGGUCAAUUUCUUGCAUCCCAUCCUGGACUCUAAAAGAUUUCAGUUUGCUAUAGGCUAUAGUUUGACUUUUUGCUUCUUGAAGUGAAUGGUAAAGCACCAUGUUGGUUACAUUAGAUUUGUUUGUCAGGCUUGUCUAAAGUCAAUAAUUUCUUGAUCCAUUUUCAAUUUAAGUAAACCAUCCAUAUAAUCAUGAUUUGUUUACCCUAUUCGGUGUUUCUGUUGUGCUUUGUUUUUGUUUGAAGGUUUGGGCUGGAUUGGAUAUCCAAAUGUUUGUGAAUUAUACUUGAUUAAUUGCUUGCUAAAACAAAGAAAGCAUCCAGCAGCACCUCAACCAGGUGUCACAAGAGAACUGAACUAAAUUUCUCAGCUACACAUGUAGUCUUAACAUUGCUAGCUGUUGUCCCUAGAAAUCAUUUAUAGCUGUUGUAUAAGGAUAUUGUAGUUUAUCUUAGUAGGGAAUAGUGUGAUGUUUUCUCUAUUUAAAUUCUAACAUUUUAAACCUCAAACAGAUGGGUUCGUUUGGGAAGGAUCUUGAGCUGUUAGACUCAGCUAGAAUUUUGCCAAUGAGAAUUAGAGACCAGACAACUGCACUUAAGCUUGCUAAGCUACCCAUUUAUUCCUUCUAUUCGUUGAUUAUAGGAACAACACAUGCAUUCAUCAUACAAACCUGCAGCUUAUGUGCGAUAAGAUGGACUCGACAUAAAGAAGUUUCUCUUCGUCUGCUCUGAUUUUUGAGCCAAGACCCUUGGGAGUUUGUCUAGCCUCAUUAUCAAAAGUGUGCAUCAGUUAGUUAUGACCUCAUCUCUUCAGUGAGAUGUUUUCCUCCAUGAAGGAUAUCCCUGACGAUCACAGGGAAUGCUCCAAACAAAAGAAAAUAAUUGUAUCAGCUUGCGAAGCGUAAAUGCUGGACUAUUGUUUCUCCCCUGAUGCACAUGUUUCGCCACAGACAAUAUAGUGUGUGUGUGUGUGUGUGUGUGUGAUCUCCGAAAUUAGUUUUUAGGUUAUUCUAUGUGUUGAGUACUUCUGUAAUUUCCACGGGCGUGUUUCAUAUUUUCUGUGUAUUGUCUAUCAUUCUUUUAAUCGUUUAAUAUUUCUUGUAGUUUUUCAUAUUUAGUUUCAGCCGCGUUUCAUUUCUCGCAGACCUACACCUAUUAGGAAAAGCAUAGUUUCAUUUUGAUCAUGUUUCUUUUAGUUAUUCAGUGUUUGUUCAUUAAUGUAGCAGAGUAAGCAGUACAUUUUGUCCAUUAGUUAAAUCACUCAUGUCACAUUCAGUUGAUUAGGUUCAGUUUUUGUUCCUUUCUUCUUCGUUCCUUCAGUUUUUUGUUCCUUUAUUUAGUCAUUGUGCUUGCACCAUUUGCCGGUAUUUGAUUCAAUAUAACCAUUUAGUCCAUCUCAAUAGACCCUUAUGGUUCUUGAUAGUUUCUCUCUUUCAUAGAUCAGACUUUUCCGCUUUUUCAGUUAGGCUAAUUUAUGCUUUCAAUUUCAGUUUUUAGUCUUCGCUUGAUUUAGUUGGACAGUGUGUUCAGUAUUUCAAUAGUUCAGUUGUUUCAUUGAUUGAUAUGUGCAUUUUCGUACUUAGUGAAGCAUCUUAAUGCAUUUUCAUACUUUGUGAAGCAUCUUAAUUUGAUUGAUAUGUGCAUUCAGUUGAGAACUCACAAGUAGAACAACUGUGCUUCACUUCAUCAGAUGGUAAUUUUUAUCGGUUAUAGACUUAUAGUUACAAUUACUAGAAGUAGCAAAGGUCUGCGUUUGUUUAGACCUUGAGUUGGUAGCUAUGCCUUUUUUGUUUCAGAUCAUAUGUUGGUACUUCAUUUUACUCAGAUCAUAUGAAGGUGAGUGUAAUUGUGUAAUCUGGAUUAGACGCAAUGAAAUUCAGAAGUAGUAGAAGUAUACUAUUUUUUACUUUCUGAUUACUAUAGAAGUACACCGCUGCAUGGUACUCCCUCUGUUCCUAAAUAUAAGUCUUUGUAGACAUAGUAUGUGGUUCAUAGUGAAAUGUCUACAAAGACUUAUAUUUAGGAAUGGAGGGAGUAAAUUAUUGCCAUGGCCUCAAUGGCAGGUUGUACCUGAUAGUGAUAUAUCCUACGAGUACCGGAUGGUCAACAUCCUUACCUGACAGGUAUGGAUUCCACAUAGUAGCCUAGCAGUGCAUGGAAAACUAGGUUCGGUCUGAAGUCUGAACCCCUGAAGAAGCAAAAGCCAAAAACAGAGAUCAGACGACCAAAUACGAGAGUGCAUCUUCUCCUUUUUUGUCUUUUUGUUGAGUGUGCAUCUUCCAACCUGGCUGUAGGCUAUAAUCAACUCAAUUUUGUUUUCUCCAUGUGAUAGCCAGGUAGGUGGCUACGUGGUAAAAUAAGCUCAACUUUCUUUUAAUACAUCUGGAUCAUGUCUUUAGAGUGUAGAGAUGCAACAUCAUAUACAUACAAGGAAUGGUCGACGACCACUUUUACAUUCAUCUUUUUUGUUUGUGAGUUCAGAGCUUCUAUUAUUACAACUGCACGCUCCAGUCAUGCUGAAUACAUGGGAGCAGUACAUUCAGUAGAAGGAGAUACAGAUUUAAGCUAUGCUCGCCAUUCAACUUUUGCCACACUCGUUCAGUAAUCAGUACAACUCAUUCUGCUUCAGGAUGGAAGCUUCGAAUGGCUAGCAGAACCAAGGCUGCCGGGACACCAUCACAUUGAGGUAGUGCCAUGGCCGUAGGUGCUGAUGUCGCAUGGGCAGCACCGCGGCCGCGGGAUCACUGUUGUGUAGUGCCACAGCCUCCGACUCGGUGUUGCGUGGUGGAAGUGCAGUGGUCAAGUUCGACGGCAUUGAAGCGAGGUGUGAGAUCCCAGCCGCUCCAAAUGACGGGUCGUGGCCGUCGGAGGGCCAACAGAGGACAAGGGUUAACAACCGGUGGUGGAGGGCGAGUCUGAGAAAUCAUGAGCUUUUUCCUUCUAUGAAAACUGAUAAAGUUGCAACAUAGUUUGCUCAAAGGUGUGCAUCGGUGCAGAUUGAGCAAGGCACAAUCUGAGAAGAAAAACACAAAAUUAGAAACAGUGUGCAUCAUGUG